AGAGACCUCAAGCGUUAUCCGGAAUCAUUGGGCGUAAAGCGUACCGAUAGGUGGUUAUACAAGUCAGAAGUGAAAUCUCCGAGCUCAACUCGGAAUCUGUCUUUUGAAACUGUAUGACUAGAGGGGCAAAGAGGAAGCUGGAACGAACGGUGUAGUAGUGAAAUGCGUUGAUAUCGUUCGGAACACCAAUAGCGUAGGCAGGCUUCUGGGUGCCACCUGACACUGCUAGGACGAAAGCGUGGGGAGCGAAGGGGAUUAGAUACCCCCGUAGUCCACGCUGUAAACGAUGAUGAUUAGGCGCUAGGGAGUAUCGACCCUCUUUAGUGCCAUAGCUAACGCGUUAAAUCAUCCGCCUGGGGAGUACGGCCGCAAGGCUA
rnacentral:rRNA from 1 species